rnacentral:rRNA from 1 species
CAGCACCGCGGGAAUACGGAGGGUGCAAGCGUUAAUCGGAAUUACUGGGCGUAAAGCGCACGCAGGCGGUUUGUUAAGUCAGAUGUGAAAUCCCCGAGCUUAACUUGGGAACUGCAUUUGAAACUGGCAAGCUAGAGUCUUGUAGAGGGGGGUAGAAUUCCAGGUGUAGCGGUGAAAUGCGUAGAGAUCUGGAGGAAUACCGGUGGCGAAGGCGGCCCCCUGGACAAAGACUGACGCUCAGGUGCGAAAGCGUGGGGAGCAAACAGGAUUAGAUACCCGGGUAGUCCCUGUCUCUUAUACA